rnacentral:tRNA from 1 species
GGGAUUGUGGCUCAGUGGAGGACCCUCUGCUUUGCAUGCAGAAGGCCCCAGGUUCAGUCCCCGGGAUCUCCA